GGGGAGGCAGCAGUGGGGAAUUGUUCGCAAUGGGCGCAAGCCUGACGACGCAACGCCGCGUGGAGGACGAAGAUCUUCGGAUCGUAAACUCCUGUCGAGCGGGACGAACGGCCCGGGACUUAAUACGUCUCGGGAGUGACGGUACCGCGAGAGGAAGCCCCGGCUAACUCCGUGCCAGCAGCCGCGGUAAUACGGGGGGGGCAAGCGUUGUUCGGAAUUACUGGGCGUAAAGGGCUAGUAGGCGGCCUGCUUAGUCAGACGUGAAAUCCCUCGGCUUAACCGGGGAACUGCGUCUGAUACUGGCAGGCUCGAAUCCGGGAGAGGGAUGCAGAAUUCCAGGUGUAGCGGUGAAAUGCGUAGAUAUCUGGAGGAAUACCGGUGGCGAAGGCGGCAUCCUGGACCGGCAUUGACGCUGAAUAGCGAAAGCCAGGGGAGCAAACGGGAUUAGAUACCCCGGUAGU
rnacentral:rRNA from 1 species